AGCGAACGCUGGCGGCAGGCCUUACACAUGCAAGUCGAACGGUAACAGGUCUUCGGAUGCUGACGAGUGGCGAACGGGUGAGUAAUACAUCGGAACGUGCCUAGUAGUGGGGGAUAACUACUCGAAAGAGUGGCUAAUACCGCAUGAGAUCUACGGAUGAAAGCAGGGGAUCGCAAGACCUUGUGCUACUAGAGCGGCCGAUGGCAGAUUAGGUAGUUGGUGGGAUAAAAGCUUACCAAGCCGACGAUCUGUAGCUGGUCUGAGAGGACGAUCGGCCACACGGGGACUGGGACACGGCCCAGACUCCUACGGGAGGCAGUAGUGGGGAAUUUUGGACAAUGGGCGCAAGCCUGAUCCAGCAAUGCCGCGUGCAGGAUGAAGGCCUUCGGGUUGUAAACUGCUUUUGUACGGAACGAAAAGCCCUGGGUUAAUACCCUGGGGUCAUGACGGUACCGUAAGAAUAAGCACCGGCUAACUACGUGCCAGCCGCCGCCGUAAUAC
rnacentral:rRNA from 1 species